AUUGAACGCUGGCGGCAGGCCUAACACAUGCAAGUCGAACGGUAACAGGAAACAGCUUGCUGUUUCGCUGACGAGUGGCGGACGGGUGAGUAAUGUCUGGGAAACUGCCUGAUGGAGGGGGAUAACUACUGGAAACGGUAGCUAAUACCGCAUAACGUCGCAAGACCAAAGAGGGGGACCUUCGGGCCUCUUGCCAUCGGAUGUGCCCAGAUGGGAUUAGCUAGUAGGUGGGGUAACGGCUCACCUAGGCGACGAUCCCUAGCUGGUCUGAGAGGAUGACCAGCCACACUGGAACUGAGACACGGUCCAGACUCCUACGGGAGGCAGCAGUGGGGAAUAUUGCACAAUGGGCGCAAGCCUGAUGCAGCCAUGCCGCGUGUAUGAAGAAGGCCUUCGGGUUGUAAAGUACUUUCAGCGGGGAGGAAGGGAGUAAAGUUAAUACCUUUACUCAUUAACGUUACCCGCAGAAGAAGCACCGGCUAACUCCGUG
rnacentral:rRNA from 1 species